UUCUUAUCCAGAGAGGUGGAGGGACAUGGCCCUUUGAAACCUCGGCAACAGGUUCUAUUGUAGAAUACUGUGCUACUUCCAUCAGGUGUAAACUUGACAGAUAAGAA
rfam:Paenisporosarcina sp. HGH0030 genomic scaffold acAqH-supercont1.1, whole genome shotgun sequence.